UGGGGAAUUUUGCACAAUGGGGGAAACCCUGAUGCAGCGACGCCGCGUGAUUGAGAAGGCCUUCGGGUUGUAAAAAUCUUUUCUAGGGGAAGAAAAUGACAGUACCAUAGGAAUAAGGACCGGCUAAUUACGUGCCAGCAGCCGCGGUAAUACGUAAGGUCCGAGCGUUGUCCGGACUCAUUGUGCGUAAAGGGUACGUAUGCGGGUAAGCAAGUUAGAAGUGAAAUCCUAUAGCUCAACUAUACUAAGCUUUUAAAACUGCUCAUCUUGAUGUAUGGAAGGGAAAGUGGAAUUCCUAGUGUAGCGGUGAAAUGCGCAGAUAUUAGGAGGAAUACCGGUGGCGAAGGCGACUUUCUGGCCAUACCCUGACGCUGAGGUACGAAAGCGUGGGUAGCAAACAGG
rnacentral:rRNA from 1 species